UCAAUCUGUCCCAAUGAGAUGAAGAUUAUUGCACUUGUUCCAUUGCAUUACAAAAUGUGAUCACUCAUCAUAAUUCUACAUCUGGUAUUAAGUGAAGUACCUUAAAGUCUCCAGUGGAGGGGUCCAGAGGAUAUUCUAUCAGAUAUUUCUCAAGGUCUUGCAUGGAGUCAGACCCAGUGUCCUCCUCAGAAUAGUCCACCAUCUUCCUGGUCCUGCGUUUUGGCCGACCACUGGACGUCAGCUGCACAGGCCCCGAAUCAUCCUUAAAGAUGUGUAUUAAGACAUUAAUCAACCAUGAAUAAAUACUUAAUCUAACUUUCAAACUUUUAAUUUUUAAAAGCCCUGUUCACAAGAUGAAUUUCAGCACAAUAAACAUUAAUACAGCAUA